rnacentral:rRNA from 1 species
GAUGAACGCUGGCGGCGUGCCUAAUACAUGCCAGUCGAGCGAACGGACGAGAAGCUUGCUUCUCUGAUGUUAGCGGCGGACGGGUGAGUAACACGUGGAUAACCUACCUAUAAGACUAGGAUAACUUCGGGAAACCGGAGCUAAUACCGGAUGAUAUUUUGAACCGCAUGGUUCAAAAGUGAAAGACGGUCUUGCUGUCACUUAUAGAUGGAUCCGCGCUGCAUUAGCUAGUUGGUAAGGUAACGGCUUACCAAGGCAACGAUGCAUAGCCGACCUGAGAGGGUGAUCGGCCACACUGGAACUGAGACACGGUCCAGACUCCUACGGGAGGCAGCAGUAGGGAAUCUUCCGCAAUGGGCGAAAGCCUGACGGAGCAACGCCGCGUGAGUGAUGAAGGUCUUCGGAUCGUAAAACUCUGUUAUUAGGGAAGAACAUAUGUGUAAGUAACUGUGCACAUCUUGACGGUACCUAAUCAGAAAGCCACGGCUAACUACGUG